AUUCUAUUUCCAAUAGUGGCCUAGCCAGAGAAUUAUUGUGACUUGCCACCAUUUUUCCUCUCUCAAGAUAAAGACAGGUUUACCCUGGGUAAAGGACAUUUCAACAUCAGGCACAAAAACCACCAAGCAAUGAACCAUUUCCACACAGGGAAGAGAAAACAAAUACAGCCUCGAUUUGGAAACGAAGCAGAGUUUAAUGCAUGUGAAAGAGUCCCAUGGAAAUGAACUGUAAUGGCCAGGAACCAUGAAAAUACACAUUUUGCAUAUUUCCCGUCCUGCUCCAGAAGAGGCUCACUCACUCUUCGCUCUCAUGGACCACCAUCUGGAAAGAAAGUGGGUGUUUUUGAUUAUGUCAGGUGGCAGACCCACAUUUCUUCCCGUCCCCUCUCCCCACAAGCAUUUGGAGUUGCUCGCUGCUGUUUUUCAGUAGGACAGGAUAUUUGGGGGACCUCAGGAGAAUACUUGGUUGCACACGUGGAGAGGGUCACCCCGUAGCCUAAGAACCUGGGAAUAAGCUGCAUCCUCGGGGACGUCCUACCUCUGGUUAUCUACCUACACAUAAGGUGACUGCCGACUAGAACCAGCAGAGGGCUGGAAAGAUCCCGGCCAGAAACACGCUCCUUCCUUCUCAGGAUGGCAUUUGCUUUAUUGCAACUUGGGUUUUGGUGAAGUUCUUCUCAGCUAAGUGACUUUAAGCCAAUCCCUUCCUUUCCUGAGCCUGAGACUGACCAGGUUCUAAGGUUCUUCUCAGCCCAGAAGUGUCUUCUCACUGCGGGCUCUUCCCAGGUGGCCCCGGGGGAUGCAACGCUGGUGCACACCUGCUUCCCCAACCGGUGGUGCUGGGAACCACCUACCCUGCUGGAGGUGAAGUCGCGGGUCUUGGCACGAAGCUUAUUGACUUGAGAUUCUGCAAUAUCAGCACGUUCUUCUGCCUCUUCGAGCUCAUGCUGAGCUUUGCGGAAUUUGGUGAGCCUCCUCCGCCUGCCUCUUGUAGGACUUGACUUUCACUUGGAGUUUAUCCACCAGGUCCUGUAACCUCAGCACGUUCUUUCUGUCCUCUUCACUCUAAAGGCAAGAACACAGCCUGUAGCUAGAAGAGGAGGGGGGAGUCACUUGAGGUCUGGCCAAUUUUCUGGGGCAGCAGGUGUCUCCCCCUCUUCUGGAGAGAGAACCCAGGGUGGUGUUUGUGCUUUAUAGAGAAAAUACCUAUCGGGCUUGCUUUCUCUUACCUGGUAAGUUAUUUUGUUUUAACGAUUUUAUUUAUUUUUUCAUGAGAGACACAGGCAGAGGGAGAAGCAGGCUCCCUGCGGGGAGCCCGAUGUGGGACUCGAUCCCAGGACCCCGGGAUCACGCCCUGAGCCAAAGGCAGAUGCUCAACCACUGAGCCACCCAGGCAUCCCUUACCUGGUGGGCGCUGGUGUCCUGCUCCUUCUUCAGCUCCUCGGCCAUCAUGGCCGCCUGUAAAUGCAGACAAAGACCAGGUGCCUUGUUGCUGAGCAGAGCCACGCUAGAGAAGGACAACAGGCAAGGCAGUGAUUGAGCCUACCCUUCCACAGUGGAACGUGAGAAGAGCUACGCUGGGGACAUAACCCAAGCAAUGCCAUGGCCAGGGACUGGAUGGAAAUUUUUGGUUUCUUCCCUUUCUUAAACUGGCCUCCUUGGGACCUUACUCUACCCACGCCUCCCCGCCCUGGCAAAUUCUUUAUUUCUUGUCACCAGUAUGUUUUCAAAGGAACCCAAGGCCUGGAGAAGACCCAGUUGGGACCCGCAUGGCAAGUUUGGGCAAGACUGGCCUGCACGGGGUGGUGGAUGCGGGGCUCAGGUCAGUAUAGGAUGUGAGGAGGACGUGAUGACUGGGAGGCCGUUUUGAAGGAAAGAAGAGUUCUGGAGGCCGGGCCCAGGAACCCCUCAGAUUUACUUCUGGAAAUGUGGAGACCUUAUUGUAAAGGAGUCAUGGCAAGCUAUGGUCAUGCCACCGGUAAGAUUAGGAAAUUCUUGGAAAUCUGGCUGCCCAUCGAGGUGAGGUCCAGUUUCUUCAUCAUGCCCUUCAUCAAGGGCACCACGGUCCUUCUGUGCUUUGUGAAGGCGGCCAGUUCUGUGUUCCUGAAGGUUCCUGUGUCCCAGAGAGUGAGUCUAAGGGAAGGCGGGCGGGGUACCGAGGCCUGCAGAAGCGCCAGCAGAAGAGGUGCAGGGGCCCCACCAGGCGGCAGGUGGCGCUGUGGAGCUGUGGCCGCCAGGGACCAGGCCGCUCAGGUGCAGGUGGGAGGGCUGGCGACCCGCCCUGUGAACUUGGGUGAGACCCCGAGACACCGGCAUCUGAGGGUCCCGUUUCCAUCUUUGCAAUAAGUCAGAUAUUGCAGGGAAGAAGAGCAUACCUCUCUGUGGGCUUUAGAAAAGGACUAUAGUCCUUUCUGGUCUUUUUUUUUUUUUUUCCUGUGCUUCAUUAUUUAUCAUUAUGGCCUUUUAAAUGUGCCGGAGGGGAUGUGCGGAGUUGGAUGGGAGGGGGAGGCGGAUUGUAGUUUGGGAGCACAAUGCAGCCGCGUGCCCUCCCCGCUCCGGGAAGGCCCCAACCUGCCUAGUGGGAGCUAUCUCGGGGUGGGGGAGCAGGAGGGGCUUCAGUGCGGCCGGAUGUGGCCGCCACACACAGGCAGAGGAUGGGACCCCUUACGUCUGUGAUGGCCUUCUUUGCCUUCUCCUCCGCAUUCCUCGCAUCCCUGCUGGCGUCUUCAACCUCGCUCUGGAGCUGUGUCAGGUCGGCCUCCAGCUUCCUCUUGGUGUGGAUGAGGCUGGUGUUCUAGGGCAGGAGGAGCGGUGUCACCUGGUGCGGGUCAGGUGUGGGUCUCUCCCCCCUGCCUGCCGGCCCCUCACCUGGGUGUGCAGCAGCUGCACCCUCUCGUUGGCAUCCAGGAGCUCCUGCUCAGCCAGCUUCCGAGCCCUCUCCGUCUGCUCCAGCGACGCCCGCAGCUCCUCCACCUCUGCCUGCAGCAGGUUGGCUCUGCGCUCCACCAUGGCCAGCUGCUCCUUGAGGUCCUCCUGGCCCCGGAGGGCGUCGUCCAGGUGGAGCUGGGUGUCCUGGCCAGACAAUCAGGGAGAGGAAGGUCUCGUCGGCAUUGAGACAUUGGAGCCUUGAGUCAAGUCUCUGUUUUUGAGUGUUUGCGGACAGGAGAGGUGUCCCCCCCACCCCCCGAGGAGCUGCCUCCAACCUUGAGCUGCCCCUGCACGCUCCGGAGGUGCUUGAGGGUCUCGGCUGCCUGGCGGUUGGCGUGGCUCAGCUGGAUCUCAAUCUCAUUCAGGUCCCCCUCCAUCUUCUUCUUGAGCCUGAUGGCCUCGUUCCGGCUCCGCACUUCGGCGUCCAGGGCGCUCUGCAUGGUCUCCACCGUCCUCUGGUAGUUCCUCUUCAGCUGCUCGAUCUCUUCGUCUUUCUCGGCAAUCUUCCUGUCGAUUUCUGAUUUCACCUGCGUCAGUUCAAGCUGGAUCCGGAGGAUCUUGGCCUCUUCAUGCUCAAGGGCGGCCUUGAGGGAACAAAAAUAAAACAGACUAGUGCCAGUGAAGGGACAGAGCCUGCUACACCACUGCCCAUUGUGAUGAUGAAGCUGCAUGGGUCAUUCACAACUGUAACUCUACAAUAUUCAAAACUCUCUUAAAAAAAAAAAAAUCCCUGGGGGCACCUGGGUGGCUCAGUCGGUGAAGCUCUGCCUUCCACUCAGGUCAUGAUCCUGGGGUCCUGGGACUGAGCCUGGUGUCGGCUCUCU